GAUGAACGCUGGCGGCGUGCCUAAUACAUGCAAGUCGAGCGAAGCGAGGACGGGUGAGUAACACGUGGAUAACCUCCUAUACGACUGGGCAAACGUAGGGAAACCGGAACUAAACUUGAUACGUAUCGAAGGAUACGCGCUGCAUUAGCUAGUUGGGAAGGUAACGGAUUACCAAGGCAACGAGGCAUAGCCGACCUGAGAGGGUGGUCGGCCACACUGGAACUGCGACACGGUCCAGACUCCUACGUGAGGCAGCAGUAGGGAAGCUUCCGCAAUGGGCGAAAGCCUGACGGAGCAACGCCGCGUGAGUGAUGAAGGUCUUCGUAUCGUACAACUCUGUUAUUAGGGAAGCGGUACCUAAUCAGAAAGCCACGGCUAACUACGUGCCAGCCGCCGCGGUAAUAC
rnacentral:rRNA from 1 species